ACACAUGCAAGUCGAACGAAGCACUUUAUUAUGAUUUCUUCGGAAUGACGAUUUAGUGACUGAGUGGCGGACGGGUGAGUAACGCGUGGGUAACCUGCCUUAUACAGGGGGAUAACAGUUAGAAAUGACUGCUAAUACCGCAUAAGCGCACAGGAUUGCAUGAUCUGGUGUGAAAAACUCCGGUGGUAUAAGAUGGACCCGCGUCUGAUUAGCUGGUUGGUGAGGUAACGGCCCACCAAGGCGACGAUCAGUAGCCGACCUGAGAGGGUGACCGGCCACAUUGGGACUGAGACACGGCCCAAACUCCUACGGGAGGCAGCAGUGGGGAGUAUUGCACAAUGGGGGAAACCCUGAUGCAGCGACGCCGCGUGAGCGAAGAAGUAUUUCGGUAUGUAAAGCUCUAUCAGCAGGGAAGAAAAAAUGACGGUACCUGACUAAGAAGCCCCGGCUAACUACGUGCCAGCAGCCGCGGUAAUACGUAGGGGGCAAGCGUUAUCCGGAUUUACUGGGUGUAAAGGGAGCGCAGGCGGUGCGGCAAGUCUGAUGUGAAAGCCCGGGGCUCAACCCCGGGACUGCAUUGGAAACUGUCGUACUUGAGUAUCGGAGAGGUAAGUGGAAUUCCUAGUGUAGCGGUGAAAUGCGUAGAUAUUAGGAGGAACGCCAGUGGCGAAGGCGGCUUACUGGACGAUAAC
rnacentral:rRNA from 1 species